UACGGGAGGCAGCAGUGGGGAAUAUUGCACAAUGGGCGAAAGCCUGAUGCAGCUAUGCCGCGUGUAUGAAGAAGGCCUUAGGGUUGUAAAGUACUUUCAUCGGGGAGGAAAAACAAAACUAAUAAUUUUAUUUCUUGACGUUACCCGAAAAAGAAGCACCGGCUAACUCCGUGCCAGCAGCCGCGGUAAUACGGAGGGUGCUAGCGUUAAUCAGAAUUACUGGGCGUAAAGAGCACGUAGGUGGUUUUUUUAAGUCAGAUGUGAAAUUCCUGGGCUUAACCUAGGAACUGCAUUUUGAAACUGAAAUACUAGAGUAUCGUAGAGGGAGGUAGAAUUCUAGGUGUAGCGGUGAAAUGCGUAGAUAUCUGGAGGAAUACCUGUGGCGAAAGCGGCCUCCUAAACGAAUACUGACACUGAGGUGCGAAAGCGUGGGGAGCAAACAGGGAUUAGAUACCCGU
rnacentral:rRNA from 1 species